rnacentral:hammerhead_ribozyme from 1 species
GCACUGCUGACCAGUCGCAAACAGAACGAAACAAUUGUCCAGUAU